rnacentral:rRNA from 1 species
CGAAAGCCUGACGGAGCAAUACCGCGUGAGGGAGGAAGGUCUGUGGAUUGUAAACCUCUUUUCUCAGGGAAGAAGAACUGACGGUACCUGAGGAAUCAGCAUCGGCUAACUCCGUGCCAGCAGCCGCGGUAAGACGGGGGAUGCAAGUGUUAUCCGGAAUCACUGGGCGUAAAGCGUCUGUAGGUGGCUUAACAAGUCAACUGUUAAAUCUUGAAGCUCAACUUCGAAAUCGCAGUCGAAACUGUUAGGCUAGAGUAUAGUAGGGGUAAAGGGAAUUUCCAGUGGAGCGGUGAAAUGCGUAGAGAUUGGGAAGAACACCGGUGGCGAAAGCGCCCUACUGGGCCAUAACUGACACUGAGGGACGAAAGCUAGGGUAGCG